rnacentral:tRNA from 1 species
GGGCGCGUAGUGGAGUGGUUACCACGUUGGUCUUCGAUUCAUGAAUUAUCGAACCAAAGUUCAUCAGUUCGAUCCUGGUCGUGCUCA